GAGAAACAAAGGGAGAUGUGUCGGGGAGAAACAAGACGAGGAGGCAGCUGCGACCAGCACCGCUAUGCAACAGCGAACACUUGAAGCACAAGUUUUACAGGCUGUACUUUAGUGCAGGAAAAAAAAAAUCCAACAAGCAGAGAAAGGCGCCAUUAAAUGAGAGGGAAAAGAUGCCGCUGCACGCUUACCUGGGUCCUCCAGUCGCGUCUGCGUGAGCCCCGAGCUGUUCUGGCACUGGUGACACCAAGAUCCCACUUCACAUCACCUUGUGCUUGUUGUUCUCACAGCCAAUUACUUCAGAGCUGCAGCUAUUUGAUGACAGAUCAAGCAGAAGCAUCUCUUUUUCCUGCACAUUAACUUAUAUUUCCAGAUUGUUUUUAUGUAAAUAACAUUUAAAGUCCCGUUCACAUCUAAUAUCCCUAACAGCAAAAUCCUCUUUUGCAAACACAAAUAAUCCCGAUUAACCCUCCUGAUUAACCCAGCGCACAGUGACAGACACCAUGGUGAAACUUCAAAGUCACUUUUCGGCUCCCAUUUUUUUUUUCUUUCCAUUUCAGCGUUCAGAGGCGCUCUCCUCCCCAGAAGGCAAGGGGGUCGCCGUGUGGAAAAAGCCCCCGGUGAACUGGUAGAAAUGCUAUCCCCAUUACAGCAGCAGCAGGGGUCAGGCCAUGGCAGCAAGCAUCCAAGCUGCCCAAAAUUGGCUGCAAAAUGACCAAUUACCUGAGUGAAGGCUGAGGAGAAAGGACUUGGAAAAAUAUGGCUUUUACUUAAUUCAGCUAAACUGUAAAAGAAACUAGUGUAACGGCGAUGCCUCAUACUUGCUGCAUGUCGCAGCAUCCCACCUGUUAGGAGGGAAGAUCUGCGCCUCAGGCAGGAAAUGCAUUUAUAGAUAAGUGAGAAACAGGGAUAACGUUUUGCGGCGUGACGUAACUGCUGGAAUAAUGUGAGCCGGGGGAAUUAUUACACCAAAACAAUGAUUGAUUAAACAUCUUUACAUGUAGGUCUUAUUGAAUUAAUUCCCCAGCAAAUGGAAAACAUGCAAAUUCGGCAAUUAAGUCAUUUGCCCAUGGAGAGCGCGGCUGCUUGACGUUCAGCUGCCACUGCGCCUUUAGUCUGAAACCCUUUUUAGUUUUUUUUUUCCUGUUAAGAGUUAAGUCUCCAACAAAGACAGGAAGGAGGUCAGCACUCAGCCAACACCUGAAUGCGGCUCUCUUUUUUGUGCUCCCCUUGAUCCCCACAGUCUGUGCCUGUCAUUAGUCUUAAUGAUGGAAAAUUGUCAUGUUGAUACAAGUCUUGCUCUCCCCCUCUCUUCUUUGUAUAAGUAGAAGGUGGAAGCUCCAUUUGUAACAAAGUUCUUUGUGACUAAAAGCCGUGGACAUUGCAUUUGUGCCGCGGGAGAAAAAAGGGGGCUGUAGAUGCUCUUUCCAUAGCUGGGAUAAUUAUUCCUACUGUGACCUUAAUGAUUCGCUCUGUUCAUCCUGCAUCUCAUCCACGCGCCAGGCCCUCAGCGGAGCCCCGUGUCAGGGAAUAUGAAAAACCCAUAUAAUGAAACCAUUUUGGGCUGAUGGAAAAAAGGGGGCUACUGGAGCUGCACUUGCUACAAAGACGGCUCAAUUAUAUGAGUAAUUGUGAUAAUUUUCCCUCCAUUCACUGCCUUCUCUGAAAGGUAAAAAACACAGAUGCUGAAAGGGAAAUUACUUGGACAAUAUAUAAUCUGUGAAAUGGUCACAACAGAAAAAAAGAUGACUGUAAGAAAGUGAAGGACUAUAAAUAGGUAUGUUAAUGCAGGGCCACAUAAAUACACCCUCAGAAGCUCGCAGACAUAAACAAACAGCAUGCCACUGAGUCCACAAGAAGAGAGAGAAGGGAUGGAGGAGGGGGGGAAGGCAACAAAUGACCACAAAAAAGAAGAAGGUAGAUGUGCAGCUGCCAAAAAAUUAAACCUCCUUCUUCUUCCUAUUGACGAAUUUCAGCUCCUGAAAAUGCACCCCCCAUAGUUGGCUAUCAUUUGUUGUUCUCUGACAGGAAAAGGAUAAUUAUCUCUCUCAGAGGCAGCGAGACUGACAUGCCCUUUAGACUUUGCCAUGAAUGCAGAGGCUUGAUGGAAAGCCUGAGGAAUAAUUUUGUUCUUGUGCUUUUCCUUCAUCUUCAAGAGCGUGUUUUAUUCCAAAGAACAUGGAGAUGACAGGAUUGUGGAGUGCAUUAAACCAUUUGGAUUCUUUCUGUAAAUAAGGCAUCGCUCCGUCUGUCAACGUCUAAAUUUUGGGGGGAAAAAAACCUCGAAAAUGCUUUAAAAUGUCAAUUCUGUUCCAGUGUAAGAGAUAUGGGAUAGAGAGAUGCAUAUGUUUCUUUUAAAUGCAAGUUAAACAUUGUUUUAUUUUGUUAAUAAAAAAGUAGAAGAGAGGUGUAUAGUGCUUUGUGAAAGUAUUUACAUUUUGUGACAUUUCAAUGAGAAACUUCAAUGCAUUUUACUGGGAUUUUAAGUGACAGAACCACACAAAGUAUAACUGUGAAGUGAAAGAAAAAUGACACACGUUUUUUAAUUUUUUUGAUGAAAAUACUUCAUACUUGUGACAAGUGUUUGCCUUCUGCUCCCUGUUAAACCCACUACACCCAAUUGCCAUAAGAAGACCACCUUAGGAGCAAAUAAUUGGAGAAGUUUAAAGCAGGAUUAGAAGCAGCUAAAAGACCCAUAGAAAACAUGGAGGACCUACAAAAAACACAGGAGACUCUUUUGCUCGGAUACAUAUAAACUGUGCACUCCACAAAUCAGUUUUGUUAUUGGUGAGAAGAAAAGUUUGAUGGAAAGAAAGACAUCUAGGCUUGUUUAAUAAAGAGAUGCUCUGCCCAGGUGAAACCAAAAUGAAACGUAUAUGUGAGGGAAAACUGUCAAUACAAAUCAACUUGAGAUCACCAAGGAACAUGGUGAUGGAAGCAUCAUGGUGUGGGGACGUUUUUCUCGUGCAGAAAUGCGAAAUCUCCAGUGGAUGGAGCUAAAUACAGGAUAAUCUAUGAAGAAAACUUAUAUUAGGAGGGACUUAGUCACAUGAGAAUGGCCAUUUCUCUUCACUUCAGAGUGAUGUGCUGCAUUGUGUGGGUCUAUCACAACCAUAAACGUAAACAUAAACUUACUGGUUUUAAUGU